AUUGAACGCUGGCGGCAGGCCUAACACAUGCAAGUCGAACGGUAACAGGAAGAAGCUUGCUUCUUUGCUGACGAGUGGCGGACGGGUGAGUAAUGUCUGGGAAACUGCCUGAUGGAGGGGGAUAACUACUGGAAACGGUAGCUAAUACCGCAUAACGUCGCAAGACCAAAGAGGGGGACCUUCGGGCCUCUUGCCAUCGGAUGUGCCCAGAUGGGAUUAGCUAGUAGGUGGGGUAACGGCUCACCUAGGCGACGAUCCCUAGCUGGUCUGAGAGGAUGACCAGCCACACUGGAACUGAGACACGGUCCAGACUCCUACGGGAGGCAGCAGUGGGGAAUAUUGCACAAUGGGCGCACGCCUGAUGCAGCCAUGCCGCGUGUAUGAAGAAGGCCUUCGGGUUGUAAAGUACUUUCAGCGGGGAGGAAGGGAGUAAAGUUAAUACCUUUGCUCAUUGACGUUACCCGCAGAAGAAGCACCGGCUAACUCCGUG
rnacentral:rRNA from 1 species